AGUUCGAUCAUGGCUCAGGUUGAACGCUGGCGGGAUGCUUUACACAUGCAGGUCGAACGGCAGCACGACUUCGGUCUGGUGGCGAGCAUGAACGGGUGAGUGUCGUAUCGGAACGUGCUCUAGUAGUGGGGAUAACUGAUUAAAGCAGAAGCAUUACUGCAUACGGCCCUUCAAAGGGAAAGCGGGGGGACCUUUCGGGCCUCGCACCAUUAUUAGAGCGGUCAGAUAUCGGAUUAGCUAGCUGGCGGGGUAACGGCUCACCACAAGGACGAUCCGCAGCUGGUUUGAGAGGACGACCAGCCACACUGGGACCGAGACACGGCCCAGACUCCUACGGGAGGCAGCAGUGGGGAAUUUUGGACAAUGGGGGAAACCUGAUCCAGAACAGCCCCGCGUGUGCGAUGAAGGUCAUACAAAGCACUUUGGCAGGAGAAACGAAUGGAUAACACCUCGUGCAACUGACGGUACCUGCAGAAUAAGCACCGGCUAACUACGUGCCAGCAGCCGCGGUAAUACGUAGGGUGCAAGCGUUAAUCGGAAUAUUGGUAAAGCGUGCGUGCAGGUGGUUCGGAAAGAAAGAUGUGAAAUCCCAGAGCUUAACUUUGGAACUGCAUUUUUAACUACCGAGCUAGAGUGUCAGGAGGGAGGUGGAAUUCGCGUGUAGCAGUGAAAUGCGUAGAUAUGUGGAGGAACACCGAUGGCGAAGGCAUCCUUGGGAUAACACUGACGCUCAUGCACGAAAGCGGGGAGCAAACAGAUUAGAUACCCCGUAUAGUCCACGCCCUAAACGAUGUCAACUAGCUGCUGGGGCCUCGCCCGGUAGCGCAGCUAACGCGUGAAGUUGACCGCCUGGGGAGUACGGUCGCAAGAUUAAAACCAGCAAUGACAUGGGGACCUGCACAAGCGGUGGAUGAUGUAGAUUAAUUCCGAAGACAACGCGAAAACCCUUACCUACCCUUGACAUGUCUGGAAUCCCGAAGAGAUUUGGGAGUGCUCGCAAGAGAACCGGAACACAGGUGCUGCAUGGCUGUCGUCAGCUCGUGUCGUGAGAUGUUGGGUUAAGUCCUUCAAAAUUAGAGCGCAACCCUUUGCCAUUAGUUGAUACGAAAGGGCACUCUAAUGUGAGACUGCCGGUGACAAACCGGAGGAAGGUGGGGAUGACGUCAGCCCUCAUGGCCUCUUAUGGGUAGGGCUUCACACGUCAGUACAAUGGUCGGGACAGAGGGUCGCCAAACCCGUUGAGAGGGGGAGCCAAUCCCAGAAACCCGAUCGUAGUCCGGAUCGCAGUCUGCAACCUGAUCAGAAGUCGGAAUCGCCAGUAACUAGGAUCAGCAUGUCGCGGUGAAUACGUUCCCGGGUCUUGUACACACCCCGCCCGUCACACCAUGGGGAGUGGGUUUUACCAGAAGUAGUUAGCCUAACCGUAAGGAGGGCGAUUACCACGGUAGGAUUCAUGAUCAGUGAAGUCGUAACAAGGUAACCCUGUGCCAUUACCUGAUGCUCC
rnacentral:rRNA from 1 species